AAAGCAGUAGAGGACAAGGAUGGAAACCCCUUGGACUUCUCAUCUUGGAGGGAGGAGGACAUCUCUGAGCAAAUCAGGAAAAUACUGGUUGUAAGCAGAGAUAACUGCAAGAAGUGCUUGUAAGCUGGAGGACAGAAGGAGAGGAACCCCUGGCAUCUUGUCUGGAUGUUCACAGCAGUUGCUGGUCAUGUCCUCUUUGGAAGGGAGAACAGGUGUUUCUGCUGCUAAGUGUUGAAAGAGAAACACAGAGCCCUGAACUUUGAAGACUUGGCAGCUGUUGAGAGAAGCAGGAAAGGAGCUGAAAUGCCAAGUGAAUUUCAAAGUCGUUGUCAUCAUGUGGAAGAGGGACAGCUGUCACAUGAAAUGUGACAGAAUUGACAGGACAGGAUCUUGUGGCUUAGUACUUCUGAAACACCAAAUAAACAGCAAGCAGGUAGUUACUGAGUAUUCUUGCUCUCAGAGUGAAGGAUGGAGAUGGGAUGUUGGAUCUUCAAGCCUUCUCCAGACCUGAUCAAG